rnacentral:lncRNA from 1 species
CUUCUGGGGUGCAUUUGUGUAAUUCGAUAUUAAUGAUUCAGGAUUAGUCUUGGAAAAGUGCACAGGCAAGGCUUCUUUCACAGCUGUUCUUUGAGUGGGCUUUGAUCUCAUGUAUUGUUUAAAUGUGACUUAGAAGUGAUGUUUUCUUCUCUAUGGGGAAAAAAAUAGCUGCAGAAUUAAAAGAUGUACUGGCACUUGACACUAAUCACAAAUACUACCAGCAGCCCGUCUUGAAAAGGAAUUGUUAUUUUAACACUAAGCCAUGAUUUUGUUUUCAUCCUGCCCACAGGCCCAGGCAUCCCCAUUUCCACCCUUCAUGAUGGACGCACUGAUCAAGAAAUUAAAAUCCUGGAAGAAAACAAGGAAUUGGAAAAUGCUUUGAAAAAUAUCCAGCUGCCUAAAGAGGAAAUUAAGAAACUUGAAGUAGAUGAAAUUACUUUAUGGUACAAGAUGAUUCUUCCUCCUCAAUUUGACAGAUCAAAGAAGUAUCCCUUGCUAAUUCAAGUGUAUGGUGGUCCCUGCAGUCAGAGUGUAAGGUCUGUAUUUGCUGUUAAUUGGAUAUCUUAUCUUGCAAGUAAGGAAGGGAUGGUCAUUGCCUUGGUGGAUGGUCGAGGAACAGCUUUCCAAGGUGACAAACUCCUCUAUGCAGUGUAUCGAAAGCUGGGUGUUUAUGAAGUUGAAGACCAGAUUACAGCUGU